UAUUAUUGACUGGAGAAAUACUUGUGAGAACCCAGCUGAUCAUUUCUGUGGCCUUGGGAAAUAGUCGUGAUGAGACAGCAAAGCGUUUUUUAAUAUAGGACUAAGUUAAUAUGGUGAAUACUUGUGUGUGUGUGUGUAUGUGUGUGUGUGUGUACUAAUCUCCCGGCUGUGUGGACUGAAGGAUGAGCGGAUGCGAAUAAAAAGUCCAAGUUGCGGAUGUUGAUGCCGGAUUCUUGCGUCUUAUCGAGGCCAGCUUUGCGCUGACACCGCCGAUCACCCUGCGUGCUGCGUGAGGCUGCGGAGGCUGCGUGAGGCUGCGGAGGCGAAGUGAAGGCUGCACCACCUGGUGAUGCAAUGCUGAGAGUUGCCAUCUGAAACUUUUAUUUUAAAACCCUGCCGCGCUGCACCUCCACUACUCUCAAAAAGGCUGUGGUUGAAGUUAGAUGGGCUUUCAAGGGUGUUUUUACGGUUGUAGUGAGAGAUCAACAAGAUAUUUACCUUAUUAAGAGGAGUGACACACUUGAGAACCCGGCUGAUUAUCACUGUGACCUUUAAAAUUUAUCGUGCAAGCGUUUCUUACUACACUGUCCACUUCAGCUAGAGGAAAUAAAGAGAUGGCAACACUGACCGCCCUUAAGCGAGUAUGCCACAUCACUCAUUGAGACACCGACUUCAGUGCAGGAAUAUACGUGCGUGUUUAAGUGAGAAAGUAAAAAAAAACAAAGAAAACCGCGUUAAACAUCGCGUUGGAGGGAAGAUAUAAGAUAAGAGGAGAAACACACUUGAUACACGACUGUUUUGCAAGGCCACAGAGAUCGUGUAAACAACAUUUGGAGUGCUGAUCCUUCUCUCAGUUGAACACGGAGCGAAAGAUGCCACAGACUUCCCUACCACUCCUCGUGCCCUAUUCAUGACAGCGACAUGUGCCACACCGCAGCGCCCAUCACCUGCCUCCCACGCCACAAUGCACACUAGGGGCCAGCGAGCAUUGUACACCAGGCUAUACCGCAGCGUCGCCAGAGCACAGCACAGCUUCUUCCUGGUCUGCUCCCUGGCGCGCGUGAUACGCCGCAACGCCACACCGAUGCGCUUCUUGGCGGUGAUAACAGCGGUGGUGGUGGUGGUGCUGGUUGUGGUGAAUCUGGCCUCUCACCACGCUCAUGCUACUGCCACUACUGCUAACUUCUUCAAGAUGCCGGCGCCGUGGGGCUGGCGGUGCGAGGACGGGCGCUGCGUGAAGCACGCGGCGGCGGGCGGCUCGGACCUGGUGCCCCUCAACCAGUGCAAGCUGACGUGCGGGGGCGCGGGCGUGCUGUGGCCGCUGCCCGCCUCAGCCUCCGUGGGGCGUCGUGUGUCGCUGUUCCUGCCGCAGAACGCUGCCCUCAGGCCCACGUGCCCCGCGCAGGUGUGUCCGCUGCUGCAGGAGGCCUUCGUGCUGUUCCGCGACGCCCUGCAGCGCUACCACCCGGACUACACCAGCGGGGAGGCGCCGUGGGCGGGCCCCUGGGACGCCGCCACCGAGGCGCACGCGCUGGUGGUGGCGGUGACGGUGGAGGGCGCGCAGGCACACCUCACGCUGGACAUGGACGAGUCGUACAGCCUGUCCGUGAACACGUCCGCCGACGGCGCCGUCACCACGGCCACCAUUGUGGCGCCCACCUUCUUCGGGGCGCGCCACGCCCUCGAGACGCUCGCGCAGCUGGUGGACUACCACGAGACGCGCGACGCGCUCAUGGUGGUGCAGACGGCGGCGGUGACGGACGGGCCGGCGUUCGCGUACCGCGGGCUGUUGGUGGACACCUCGCGUAACUUCGUGACGGUGGCGGCGCUGCGGCGCACGGUGGACGCGAUGGCCGCCAGCAAGCUGAACACCCUGCACUGGCACAUCACGGACUCCCACUCCUUCCCGCUGGCCCUGCGCUCCCUCCCAAACAUGGCCUACUACGGCGCCUACUCCGCCAGGCAGGUGUACACGCCGGCGCAGGUGCGCGACCUGGUGCAGUACGCGCGCGUGCGCGGCGUGCGUCUGCUGCCCGAGCUGGAUGCACCCGCACACGUGGGCAAUGGCUGGCAGUGGGCCGAGAAGGAGGGACUGGGCCGACUUGCAGUGUGUGUCAACCAGGAGCCGUGGCAGGAACUGUGUGUGGAGCCUCCGUGCGGGCAGCUCAACCUAGCCAACCCUGCAAUAUACGACAUCAUUGGGCAGAUCUAUGAAGAGAUGUUGGACAUCUUCGCUCCUGUCGACAUAUUCCAUUACGGCGGGGACGAGGUGAACCUGAACUGCUGGAACUCGACGCAGGAGAUCAACUCUUGGAUGACUGCGAACGGCCACGGCGUGGACGAGGAGGCGUACUACAGGCAAUGGGCGGUGUUCCAGGAGAAGGCGCUGCAGCUGCUGCAGAAAGCUGCCAAGGGGCGGAAGGUGGAGGGAGUUCUGUGGACCUCGGAGCUGACCAAGCCCGGCAGACUGAAUCUGUCCCACAACUCCUCGCAGUACAUCAUCCAGAUCUGGAGCACGCAGGACGACCCGGUCAUCGGGGAGAUGCUCGCCAUGGGGCACAGACUCAUCUUCAGCAACCACGAUGCCUGGUACCUCGACUGCGGCAUGGGGGCGUGGGUGGGCGAUGGGAACAAUUGGUGCAGUCCUUACAAGGGGUGGCAGACCGUAUAUGACAAUAGCCCUCAUGCCAUUGCCACGAGCCUGACAGGCUCUCCUAACACAGAGCUCAUCCUUGGGGGAGAGGCCGCCCUGUGGACCGAGCAGGCAGACACCAACACUGUGGAUGCCAAGGUGUGGCCGCGCGCCGCAGCGCUGGCGGAGCGUCUGUGGAGCAACCCGUCCACCUCGUGGCAGGAGGCAGAGACUCGCUUCAUCCACCACCGGCAACGCCUCGUGCAGCGCGGCGUGCAGGCGGAGCGAAUACAGCCCCAGUGGUGCCACCAGAACGAAGAACUCUGCUACCUCUAGUGCCAAAGCAAUGCCAUUGUAGGAUACCUUGUGAAGACCCUCCAGGUGGUGUAGGAUGGUAUAGAGGGGAAAACAGAGCCAUGAAAUUUGCUGUUCCAAGAAUAUGGCGUGAAGCUACUGACCACUCAACUGACUGCUUUUUCUGCAUGGUGGAUCCUUCCAAGCGCAGAUCUGGGAAAAAUGCACCUGCUGUUUUGUAUCCAGACAUUCUAUCUUCCAUUGCACCAGUACCACACAGUGAUGAUCUUCCAGCUCCUCCAUAAAGAAGUCGACUAUCAGAAGAAAGCAGCAAGUCAGAAGAUGAGCUAAACAGAAAGGAAGACUGUGACAUCACUGAUACAGUUGUAGUUGGGAGGAAUCCUUACUACCCAAACCAAAGAGACCUCAAUGAUCUCAUCUUGGUUCGGCAAAGUCACAUGGUGAGCUUUGAUUUCAAGGCUGAAGGAAUGGGAUUUACUUGAUGACAGUGUGUGAGUGACCAGCCAAAGAAAACGUCACAAACAUUUCUCCUGCUUCUUUGCAAAGGAGGACAGGCUGUGCUGCUGCAGUGAUGUAUCAGGCUUGUCUGAUGCUAUUGGAAUUGCUUGCAAUGCAGAUGAAUGGAGACUCGUCAUUGACAACUCCUCCAAAAGCCUGGAAGCUGUACUUCUGCACAGUGGAAACAAGUAUCCAUCUCUGCCUCUUGCUCAUUCUGUGCAUCUUAAGGAGGACUGCAGCAGUGUAGAGCUUCUACUGGAAACUUUGAACUACAACAAGAAUGGCUGGGAAGUUAUUGGAGACUUCAAGAUGGUGGCUUUCUUGAUGGGACUGCAAGGAGGUUUUACAAAGAAUCCCUGUUUUCUUUGCCUUUGGGACAGUAGAGACAGAGCAACACAUUACCAGAGAAAGCACAACAGUGGGAGCACACAAUAUCAAACAUGAGCCAUUGGUGAAUCCUCAAAAUGUUUUGUUUCCUUCACUACACAUUAAACGGGUCUCAUGAAACAGUUUGUUACAGCUCUUGACAAGGAGUCUGCUGCCUUCAUAUAUCUUCAAGACUUCUUUCCUAAGCUUUCAGAGGCAAAGGUGAAAGCUGGUAUCUUCACUGGACCACAAAUGAGUAAAAUUAUGGAGUACUCAGAAUUUCUACAGAAGCUCACAGAAAAGGAGAAAAAAAACUUGGGAGUGUUUCAUUGGUGUAGUACAGGGGUUUCUUGGCAACAACAAGGCUGUUAACUAUAUGGAACUGGUUGAAGCUUUAGUGAAAAGCUAUGGUGAGAUGGGCUGCAGAAUGUCCUUGAAGGUCCAUAUCCUAGAUGCUCACCUCGACAACUUCAAGGAGAAUAUGGGAGCAUAUUCAGAGGAACAAGGGGAGCGCUGCCACCAAGAUAUAAUGAACUUUGAACAGAGGUAUCAGGGAUCCUUCAAUGAACACGUGAUGGGAGACAUUUUGGGGCUUAUACGUGAAAGUGAUUUGUUGUGUUCACGCAAAUCAAGAAAAAAAAAAAUGUUCAUAUUUAAUAAAAA